rnacentral:rRNA from 1 species
GACGAACGCUGGCGGCGUGCUUAACACAUGCAAGUCGAGCGGUAAGCCCGUUUCGGGGUACGACGAGCGGCGAACGGGUGAGUAACACGUGGGUGACCUGCCCUUAGCUCUGGGAUAAGCCUGGGAAACUGGGUCUAAUACCGGAUAUGACUCCAUAACGCAUGUUGUGGGGUGGAAAGCCUUGUGCGGCUAGGGAUGGGCCCGCGGCCUAUCAGC